UGUGCUGAUGAAAGUAACCGCUUCUGAUCUCUUAUCAACACGGUCUCUCCUCAGCUGAGAGGAAACUCCUUGAGAGUACCGAACACCGUUGAUCUCGAGGAGCGAGUCAGGAUCCAGAGGGAUGUGGGUGAGGGUGAGGACCUCAGGUGUGGAAUCAUCCGCCUUGAAGUUGCUGAUUCUGACAUAGAACACUCUCAAAUCCAACAAUGGUGAUGAUGAUGUUCUGUUGUAGCCCUGAUGAUAUCUAACCAUCUGAUAUGCUUCACCGUUGUUGUUGCGUGUCUCGUAAGGCUCCUCCAUAAUUAAGAAGUACUAGAAUCAAUCCCUAAUGUGAUGUGAAAUAGAAAUCAUUCAUUAACCAAAUCGUAACGAAAGAAAUGUAAAGAUUCAAACUUUAAUCACUUUGCCAAAAACAGAGAGAUGGGUCAAAAAUUUACAGAUGUGGAAAUCACAUCUUAAGUUGAAAAAAAAAAACAAAUUAACAAACUUUAAAGCUUUAAAACUACGUUUCUAUCAGAAAGGAACUAUCUUUUCUUUUCAAAACAAAAAUAGAAUUUUCUAAAAAAAAAACUCAGAAAAAUCCGCAGAAAGGAGAGAGGAAGCUCACCGAGGAGAUGGUUCCAUCCACGAGCCCAGAGAAUUACAAUCUGAUGAUUUUUUACAAACUAGUGAUUAGCAUUGAUCUUCCUCCUCCUCCUGCCUGCGUCUCCAAAAUUAAGGAAAGCAAAAAAUAGAAACUUUAUGUGUGGCCAAGUAGGAUUCUGAUUAGAUCUCUCGUAGAUCAUAGAUUUCCAUUAUAUUGCGAGCUCGGCGCGUGGCAGAGGAUUAACGACGAAAGGUUUUGUCUUUAUGGAGGAUAAUUUUGUAUUUUAAUUAGGAGGAAAAGAUUAUUAUAUAUAAUGAGAAAAAGAAAAAAGGAAGAGUGAUGGGAAGAGGUUUGAGAUGUCUCGUUGUUAUGAUCCAACAGGGAGAAGAGGAGAUGGGCUCUUCUGAACGACUUUCCAUCACGUGAUCAUCCUUAUCCUCUUCUUUGGACCAACAAAAAGUCACUGUUUACGAGACACACCGCGUCGGGUCGCUUUUACUAAAACGACGCGAAAUGUCCUGACGUUCGUUGAAAACUGCACGUUGUUGGGCUUUUUUAGUCAAGUGUUGAGCUUUUAAAUUUACAUAUUUCUUGAUAAAAAGGUGGACAUCGUGCCGUUUUGCUUAGGAGUUAAUAAAUUUUGUUGCAAAAACGUUUCAUUUUCUUUAAAACAAAAUUUUAAGUUGAAUAAUCGUUUCUUGAACUACAUACGUAUACGUUGACUGUACCAUCAAUCGUGUUCAAUGAAAUGAAUCUCACAUGAUAAACAUACGUUUUCAGUUAAUAUUGAAUUAAAAUAAGAUCUAAGAAAGUGAAACAAGUUUAACAAAAAAAAAAACAAAAAAAAAAGUGAAACAAAACCAAAAGGACUUUCAUUAGAAGUCAAACCUAACACACAAAUUGCAGCUAGCAACCAGUAGUGAUAAGGUUGCAAAUAUUCUUCACUAGAUUUAUAACUUCAGUCGAUGGAGAUUGAACAACAACUUUACUCAAAACUUUCACUUGAUUCUUAGUUUUUUUUUUUUUUGCGUAGUGUUAGUUAGCCAACUAGUUAGUUAGCUGAGUCAUGCUUUGUCUGUGUGAUUCAAGUCACAUGAACCAAGUGAACAUUUCUUGUCUAGUGUCCAUUUGCAUGUCUGUGACUUCUCUGCUGUGCUGUUCUUCCCUCAUGAAUAAUAGAUUUUGAUACUGCACACUAGUGUGUUAUUCAAAAUGUUUCGCCGCAAGACUACUUCGCAAGCUGAACAAGAGAAUAAUGAAGCAGCUCUCAGAGAGGCAAAGGUACAAACUUUCCAUGACUCUCACUUAUAAACUGAAUAACUGAUUCUUGAAAGAUCAUUUCUUUACUGAUCUUAAUGAUCCACAGAUCAAAGAGGUCAAGACUCUCAUAGGUGAGCUCUCUGGAAGGAGUUCACUCUACUGUUCAGAUCCCUGUCUCAAGAGAUAUCUUGAAGCUAGGAACUGGAACGUUGGCAAAGCCAAGAAGAUGCUUGAAGAGACGCUGAAAUGGAGAUCAACCUUCAAACCUGAAGAGAUCCGUUGGGUAAGUCAUCAACCACAUUCCUUAAGAGUAGGCUUCCUCUGAAACCUUAUCAACUUAAAGGCUUGCUUUGUUUUUUUUUUUACUAGGAUGAAGUUUCAGGUGAAGGUGAGACUGGGAAAGUCUACAAAGCUGGAUUCCAUGACAGAAGUGGAAGAACGGUUCUUAUACUCAGACCUGGAUUGCAGAACACCAAGUCUUUGGAGAACCAGAUGAAACAUUUAGUGUAUCUCAUUGAGAAUGCUAUUAUGAAUCUCCCGGAGGAUCAAGAGCAGAUGUCUUGGCUCAUUGAUUUUACAGACUGGUCGCUGAGCACCAGUGUGCCUAUCAAAUCCGCCAGGGAAACUAUCAACAUACUGCAGAAUCACUACCCUGAGAGACUAGCUGUCGCUUUCCUCUAUAACCCUCCAAGGCUCUUUGAGGCAUUCUGGAAGGUUAGAAGGCAAAUCACUGAUUCUGACUCAUAGAGUUAUACAAAACAUUAGUUAAUGAUGAGUGUUUGUUGUGUGUGUGUUGUUCUGCAGAUAGUGAAGUACUUCAUUGAUGCAAAGACAUUCAUCAAGGUGAAGUUUGUUUACCCGAAGAACCCUGAAAGCGUGGAGCUUAUGAGCUCAUUUUUCGACGAGGAGAACCUCCCAACGGAGUUUGGAGGGAAGGCUUUGUUGCAGUAUAACCAUGAAGAGUUCUCUAAGCAAAUGAACCAAGACGAUGUUAAAACUGCAGACUUUUGGGGAUUGGUUCAUAGUAACAACAAUCACCAGCAGCAGUCCAGCAGUGGAUUUUCUGGAGCUGAGAUUGCUCCUGAGCCAAUACAAACCAACACUUAAAACUAGCUUUGAAAGGCUAUGUAUUGUUGUAACCAACCCUUUUUCAAAUGGGGACAAAGAUAAAGAUAGCUCUUGAUGCUUAGAGGAGAGGACACAGAGAUGUAAGAUUUAGACUCGGUAUUUGAUUAAAUAAAAGGAUUUGUGUGUUAUAAGCAGCUCUUGCAGGUGUUAUAAGUGAUUCCAAUAAUACUUUACACUCAAAAGCAUUUAUUUACAGGAAGAAGACAAGCUUUGUUUCUUUCAGUAUCAUCAAUCUCAACAAACCCAAGAAGAAGAAGAGAAUGGUUUCUUUCAAAAUUUGAAGGCACACAGAAGAAAAAAAAAAACAGAUGAAGAAAGAUUAUCAUACUACACAAAUGUAUUAGCUAUUAAACUCUAUUAAGUUUAGAGAUUUGCGUUGGAGUGGAGUUAGAGAGAGAGACAGAGAAGGCCAAGAAGCUUGAGGCAAGUUUAAGUGAGACUACUAGAUGAGUCUUCUUCUGAAGUUUCUGGUGGUUGAUUGAUAGGUUCGCACCAGAAGGCCAACACCAAUGCCGAGACCUACACAGACGCCAAGACCAAUUCCAACGCCAACCCUCACACCAGCAUUGAACCACGACAUUUCGCCAUCUUCAACAUCUGCGUACUCUCUUCCCAUAUACAUGUCUCCGUAUUCUCCUUCAUAGUCUUGUUUAUAGUUUCCGUAUUCUGUUGCCUACACAAUUUUAAAAAACUCCCAUACUUAGGACAAAACAUUGCAAAGAAUAUGUUUUGGUACAUGGCUCUCUGAAACGAAAAUAAGAAAGAUACAUUCAUAGAGAUAGUCAAGUAAAGAACACAAUGGCCAUUCAACCAGUACUUGUAGAAUAGAGGCUAAUAGUACUUUUAUUCUCAUACUGGUGUUUAGACCUCCAUGAUAUUUAGGUGGAAGUUAUAGACACUAAUAUAGUUUAAGGGAAGCUAAUAACCUAUAGUGAGUUCUAAGAACCAUUCCAAAUAGGUCAACUGCAAUAAAACCUUCAAGCAUAAGUUAAUCUUAACAUUUGAUUCUUCAAUAGGUUAACAUCUUCCCUGGUAAGUAGUCUAUGCAUAAACUAAAGUUGAUAUAUUGUGGCACUAAUGUGAUAACCACAAUGAAUCACAUAAGAACUGAAUGUAGCAGACAGGAGGAUAAGAAUUCAAACAUUAAGAUCACAUGACAAGAGAGAGAGAGAGAGAGAGAGAGAGAGCUUUCUAUUAAUAUGUCAGGCCCCAUACAUCACAUGAUCAUUUAUCAAGAGCUGGUACCAAGAAACAAGCAGACUCAUAUCCUAGGUAACGCAUUCAAAAAACCAUUAUAAUACUAUUUAAAAAGCAUUGAUACAAUGAAACAGCAAAAUGAAAAAUUACCUGAAAAUCAAGCUCAGACGAGUUGCCUUUAUGAGUCUCGCCGGUUUCAUACUCAGGAAUCGAAUCUAACGCAGCCACUCUAUUAUGCAUCUUCUUCCUAAAACCAAGCUGAAGCGUCUUGGUCAAGAUGAUAGGUGUUCCCGAGAAGCAACCAGUGACAUACACUUCAACAGUCGGCAACAACGGAGAUGAUGACAUCUCAGAACAACCAAUGUGUUUCUUCUUCUCCUUCAAGAAACCACACCCUGCAGUGAUCUCAGCUUCACAGUUCAUCCCCCACCGCUUCACGCCAUGCUUAACAGACUCCCCUGUGAAACCAUUACUACCAGACAACUCUAAAGUCCCAGACAAAACAAGCUCAUCUCUGUCAUACACCUCAAACCUCACGCUACCAGAUAGCCUGAUAUUGUCUGUGCUGAUGAAAGUAACCGCUUCUGAUCUCUUAUCAACACGGUCUCUCCUCAGCUGAGAGGAAACUCCUUGAGAGUACCGAACACCGUUGAUCUCGAGGAGCGAGUCAGGAUCCAGAGGGAUGUGGGUGAGGGUGAGGACCUCAGGUGUGGAAUCAUCCGCCUUGAAGUUGCUGAUUCUGACAUAGAACACUCUCAAAUCCAACAAUGGUGAUGAUGAUGUUCUGUUGUAGCCCUGAUGAUAUCUAACCAUCUGAUAUGCUUCACCGUUGUUGUUGCGUGUCUCGUAAGGCUCCU
rnacentral:lncRNA from 1 species